rnacentral:rRNA from 1 species
GUUAAAGUUUAGGUAAUUAACCUACCCUAUAGUAUAAUUAGAAGUGGCAUCUAUUUAAUUAUUAAAGUUCCAACGGUAUAAGAUGAGCAUGCGUCCCAUUAGCUAGUUGGUGUGGUAACGGCACACCAAGGCGACGAGUGGGUAGGGGUCCUGAGAGGGAGAUCCCCCACACUGGUACUGAGACACGGACCAGACUCCUACGGGAGGCAGCAGUGAGGAAUAUUGGUCAAUGGGCGCAAGCCUGAACCAGCCAUGCCGCGUGCAGGAUGACGGUCCUAUGGAUUGUAAACUGCUUUUGUACAGGAAGAAACACUCCCUCGUGAGGGAGCUUGACGGUACUGUAAGAAUAAGGAUCGGCUAACUCCGUG